AUUAUGGUUUUAUUUUUUCCCCCCAUCUAUUUCCUGGGAUCAAAAUAAAGCUUGUGAAAGUUCAUUCUGUCACAGGUGGAAUAUCUCAUGCUAGUGUGAACACAACUGUUAAUUGGUCAAAAGUUUAACACAAAUGUUGUUUUUGCAGAAUACAAAUUUUGUGAUGCUAUAAAUAAUUGUCCUUACUAAAUCAAGAAACCUAUGGGCAGAAAGUUAUUUGAAGUGGGUAUGGCAUACACCUAAUUCAUAACUGCAUUCAACAAGUGGCUAUAUCCUAACAAACUGCAAUUGCUACGUCUACAGAUUCUCUUGCAAACAGAAAAACUGAACUAUGAAAUUUUUGUGAUCAAGUGUUUUUGUGAAUACAAAAAACACUGCGGCAUUGUUACUGCUAAUAAUUGUCCCUUUGAGGGCUAUGGUGGGUUGAAUGAUGGCCUCCAAAAUAUGUCCACCUGAAACCUGGGAACAUGACCUUCUCUGGGAAAAGGGUCUUUGAGAUGUAAUUAAGUUCCCUGGUGGCUCAGCAAUAAAGAAUCCACCUGCAAUGCAAGAGACACAGGUUCGAUCCCUGGGUCAGGAAGGUCCCCUGGAGGAGGGAUUGACAACCCACUCCAGUAUUCUUGCCUGGAGAAUCCUAUGGACAGAGAAGCCUGGCGGGCUACAGUCCAUGGGGUCACAAAGAGUCGGACACAACCAAAGCAGCUAAGCACACAGGCAUGCGAAAGUGACCACAAUCUCCCAGGAGCUACUGACACCCACAGAGUGAAAAUCCUGUUGAUUAAAACCUGAUGACAGGGGGCAAGGAAGGAACUGUUUUGCUGACCACCCUAAAUUUUUAACAAAAAGCUAAAGAUUACGGACAAAAGAGCUUUAAACACACACCAUUCUCAAAAGACAAUGGUGGGUCCUAAAACAGUGUAGCACAGUCCCAAACCUAAGUCACAUGGAUCCACAGAGAGAGAACCUGAUGCCAUCAGAGACUACAGAAGCUCAAUGUCCAAGAAGAUGCCAGCAGAUGGCCAGGAAACUAGCUACAGAUUCCAGGGCCCUACCCCCAGAGUCUAUCUGAAUAGAUACCUGUUGAGCAUCUACACUAUGAAUGACUCUGCUACAAGCUACAGGGGGACCAAAAAACCCCAUCAUACCAGGCCAUGGUCUAUUGAGAAGAUGGGACCCACAUAUACAGAUUUCCGCGAGACCUGGAUUCUAGUCUAAACUAAAGGAGGAACUGGAUGUACUGACUGUGGGCAAGUCACAGAAAUUCUCUGCUCCUUGGAUUCCUCACAUCAGGAACACUUCCUCAACUAGGAAGCACAGGAUGAAGCAGCUGGAAUCAUUUACAAACCACAGGAAAGAGUGAAGGACAUAUCAAGAGAAUAUCGAUCGGGCAAAGGUGCUCACAAAAGAAAGCCACAGAACUGGUGUUUUCAAGCAGGAAACGGUGAUAAAAGAUACAGAAAGACAGAGUGUGACAAACUCAGGCCCUGUAUCUGAAAAUGAUGAGGGGCUGUUUAUAUUUCUAGGAGGUCAGACAAUAAACUAGGCAAGAAAAAGGUGAACCCCUCCAAACUCUGAGAGCAAAUGAGAGAAACCUUUAACAUAAAUUAGUGUUUUUCAAAUAUCCUUGCGUGCAUACGCAACAUAUCACACAAUUUCUGGAAUAAAAUUGAAACUGAAAUAAAAAUAAAAUUUUACACGUGACAACAUUUAAAAUUGUUAUUGCUUCCAAACAGAUACUACAAUGUGUGGCAAUGAAGUAACUCACUGGUGUUUAUCUGCCUUUUCAGUAGAAUUUAAAUUGGGCGGAAUUUCACAGAAAUAAAGAUUCAGUAACUUUUUCUGGGGAUUAGAAGAAGAAAAGGUUGGGAAAAGCGCCCUGAGCUUUGUUGUGGGAAAGGCGAUCUGACUCAUUUUUAAUUUUCCAUUAAAGCCCUACUUUUCAGUAUAAAGCAGAUGGAAUCCUUAUACAACUCCAUGAAAAGCCUACUAUUUUUGGGUACCUCAAAGAUGGAAGCUCUGAAGAAAAUGAAAGUGUUUGACUGCAUCAGAUGAAAUCCCACCAGCACAUUCAAAAGGAGCAGGUACUUAGAAAUCUUAAAAACACAAGGUAAGAGAUCUUUCUGUGGCGUAUUUCUGAUCCCCAGCCUCCCCUGGGCUCACUUCCCUCUGCCUCUGAUGGAUGAUUUUUCUACCUCUUCAGCAGCCAGCUCCCACCACUGUGGCUCAGAGUCACUCUGCUUCUUUGUUCCUCAUCUUUCAGAAGCUGCCUCCCUGAUGGGUUCCAUCCUCGGGGCCAUUCUCAUAUAUAGAAUGUCAGGGUUAACCCUGCUCACCCCAUACCUACUGAGCCAGAACCGGGCCUGGGACUACGCAUUCUCUAAGACCCUCCGAGAACAGUCAUGCAACCACAGGCCCAAAACCCUUUCCUUAUCAUGAGAUAAGCCCUGGGUUGACGUUUCCUGUUUGUUUCCCUGCCAGGGUGGAUGGAAGAAAGAAGAGGGCCUAUCUUUACUGUGUAUGAGCUGUGAAGUACUGGGCUAGGAGGUGGUGAGCACUCAUUGGAGAGAUGGAACAAAUUCAUCAUUAAGAGCAUUGGUUCUGGAUCAGACUGACUGCCCGGGUUCAGAGCCCAGCUCUGCUUACUAGUUGUGUGACCCUGACCAAAUCACCACACCUCCAGGCCUCAGUUUCCCUAUCUGUUAAAUGGGAAUAACAACAGUUCAUCAUGAAAUCGUGCUGGGUGUUGAGCUGGCAAGUCAACCACGAAUAAAACAGUCUGACUUCCAAAGAGCUCCCAAGUCAGGAAAAAAGGCCAGUAUCUUCCUACUGUCCAACCCAGCUGACCCAUUCUGCUUUAGAAGUCAGGCUGUGACAAGGGUGAAGACAAGCUGGUAACCAAGCACCACGGAGCCCCAAAAUAGGACCAACAGAGGCUUCCCGGAAGCUGAAAGCAGAUUACAGUGGAGCACCAAGGCAUGGUGGAAUUUGGAGCCCAGAAUCACUGCAUGGAGGAAACUCACCCACUGAUCAGAAAUACCCAUUUUGAACUAUUACAUGAGGAAUAAUAAACAUCUAUUACUUUUGAGUCAUUAUAUUUUUGCAGGCCUAUUUGUUAUAGCUGCUAAUAUUAGGCUAAUUAAGCCAGGUGCUUAGCACAUACCAAAGACCUAACACAUUUGUUGAAACAAGACCAGGUUCCUUCUUUCAAUGUGUUGAUAAACUAAUGAUGGAAAUAGACACUUGCCAACCAUAAUGCCAGCUGCUGAAGUGUGAAAACAAAAUUGGAGGCAUGGUGAUUUGCUUGAAGGGGAAAGGAGGAGAAAGCAUCCCAGAGUAGAAGACUUUUGAGCUGGGCCUUAGGUUGAACAGAACCCAAGCAAAUCAGAUGGGGUUAGGAGAUUCCAGACCCAGGAGAAAGCAGAGAAUAAAAGUACAGAAAGCAGAACAUGCAUUUGUUCACAUUCAACCUCAUCACUCUCUUGAACUCGGUCAACAGAGUGUGAGCUUAUUGUGCACUGACUUUCUUUCCUGGCUUUGGCAUCAAACAACGCUUUGUUUUGUUUUUAACACUACCCUCAAUAACCCUUUUGCUUUUUUUAAAAUAUAAAAAGUUCCAAGAUGAAUGUCCUUAGAAAGUGCAGAAGUAAAUGUUUAAUGAACCAUAACAAUUCUUCUCUAAUAAAAUUCUUGAAGAACUUGAGACGGUUCUAUUACUUGUAACAGUCAAAGAGCCAUGCUCUUAGGAAUCAAUGGGUUCGACCUAAGUUUUGACAUUAUUGAUGAAGCAUGUAACAGUCACUGGCUUACAGAAUGGAACAUUAAGCCCCCAGGUUUACAUUUACAUUUCCUUUUCAAGAGGAACAUCAAGCAGAUGGUUUAAGAGAUCAGGCAAAAGAUUCUCUACAUCCUUCGCUCAUAGCUAAGUGCCUCCAACACCUGAGACAGUUAACAAAACCACUUCCUCCAAAAAUCUGACAGUCCCUCCGUCUGAAAGCACAGGACCCGAGGGGCAGAGGGGCAGGGACUUGGGAGAAAGAGCACAAAGGGUGGAAAGUGUGGCAGUGGCUUAGUAGUGAGAGGAAGGAUGUGGGCGUCUGAAGGCUGCCCUGAAGCAGGGAAGAGAGACACAGUGCCCAGUGGUCUUCCAAAUACCAACUUAAUGCUGUGUUAGCAAUGUCCCCAGGAGCUUGUUUAAAUACAAGGGUGAAACAACAAUCACGGGGCGGACAAGACUUCAUUUCAAAUGACUUCAGUCCUCCUUAGACUUGAGAGAAGCAAGUUAGGCUGCCUCACUCCUAGCAAACAUCAAUAUAACUCUCUUUGGGAAAUAAAAUUCUUCCUCUCCCACACCCAUGUAUCCUACCCCCUACCAUGAAAGGGAGUUAAAACUGGGCAGGGGAGGGUGCUACCCUGAGAGUAAAGCAACUCUUCGGACAGCUGAGAUCAAUUCCCCCUUAAAUCUAAGAAGUACUGCAGGCGCCAGACAACACUACUGGUCCAUGAAUACAGCAAAACGCCAGCACCUGCCACCCUGCAUCUGGGGCCUUUUAUUUUUUGGUAAAUGUGGCAGGAAAGACUCUCAGAGAGAGGAUCAACUGCUUUAUCUGAGCAAAAGGGGAGCCCCAGGGAAAAGAAACAAGAAGCAUCGCGCCCAUCCUUGGGCACUUUGUGCGUCUCCUCUCUGUGCACUGAAAGGGCUCUUUGUGUCACACACGCACACACACACACAC